rnacentral:rRNA from 1 species
CCUACGUGAGGCAGCAGUGAGGAAUAUUGGUCAAUGGACGAGAGUCUGAACCAGCCAAGUAGCGUGAAGGAUGACUGCCCUAUGGGUUGUAAACUGCUUUUGUACGAGGGUAAACGCAGAUACGCGUAUCUGUCUGAAAGUAUCGUACGAAUAAGGAUCGGCUAACUUCGUGCCAGCAGCCGCGGUAAGACGGAGGAUUCAAGCGUUAGCCGGAUUUAUUGGGUUUAAAGGGUGCGUAGGCGGUCGGAUAAGUUAGAGGUGAAAUCCCGAGGCUCAACUUCGGAAUUGCCUCUGAUACUGUUCGGCUAGAGAGUACUUGCGGUAGGCGGAAUGUAUGGUGUAGCGGUGAAAUGCUUAGAGAUCAUACAGAACACCGAUUGCGAAGGCAGCUUACCAAGCUACUUCUGACGUUGAGGCACGAAAGCGUGGGGAGCAAACAGGAUUAGAUACCCUGGUAGUC